UUCUGCCUUUCUAGAUGAGAAUCCUGAGACAAACAUGUUAAAGCCUUUUAGACUUACAGGCUGUAUUUUACUUUUCUUUAAGUGCAAGCGAUGGGAAUUGCUAACCCUGGUCAAGAAAAUUUCAUUUCCCCCAUCCUGCUAAACGGCUCUGGUCGACAUAUGUUUGUUAUCAGAGAGAGGUGCUAUGAACACAGAGCCAUUUUCUUAGCAGUUUUUUGACUGUAUGUUACCAUAGUCCCACACGGCAUUGGUCCUUUCCCAUUGGGAAGUCAUGAAUAAGAGACUAUGAAGCUUGCACGUCAGGUCUUCCUCAAUUAAUCCACCAUUAGCAUGUUUGGGAUCCACUACUGGAUGGUUAACAGCAGCUUUGGUAACUGUAUGCUGCCCGUAGCCAAUUAUGCUCUGCUAAAAAUGAACUCUGCAGACCAACCUUCUUGAGCUGUCAGUGUCUCCCGUUUUCCUAUUUUAACGUUUGUAUGUAGUGGCAGGCGACAGAUGGUGUAGAUCAGAUCGAUUUGAUUGCAUUAGGCGAUUUUUUUCCUCUUCUCCCUCCGACUCCUUUUCUGGAAGCCCACAUCGUCUGAACGGCGAUCGCCGGGGACUCGGAAAGCACCAGCCGCCGCCGAUGGGUGAAGGCAACUGGGCACGGCCAGCCAGAGGCGCCGGGCUUCGUUCCCAGGGCACAGGAAUCCGGCACCAGGAGAGAAAGCCGCGUUCUGCUGCCCAGAGCCUAUUCCCCGCCACAUAUCAGAUGACUCCCUGGUUUUACACACAGUUGGAGUUCUGCUUGAAACCUGGAUUUAAAGGGGAUCUGUUGCUGUAAGUGACAUCUAUUCCAAGCACCCAGAGAGAACUGAUGGAGCACACAGAUGGGAAUAGGAUGCCAGGCAAGCACAGAGGAAGAAAUCAGGGAAUCAGCAGGACUGGAAGUACAGCAACCACUGGAUAAUGGGACGGGAUCACUCGGCAACUCUGUGGAUUCUCCUUCUCCUUCCUCUGUAGGGGAAAUAUAGUUAUGGAUUUAUUGCCCCGGUGCAGCAGUUCCAGCAACAUCAGCAGCAGCAGCAACAGCCUCGGCAGAUUUCUGACUCUCUUCGGUGACGGGUAUUCUUGGGUGGAUAAUACGGAUUACGUUGUUAUUGCUUAAGAAUACGCGUAGUCGAGGAGAGUACCCGCGGCAGGCAGGCAGGCAGCGGCCGCCCCCAGCCCAGCAGCUGGCUCCUAAUCUACUAUAGUUGCCAAGGGGCUGAUCCUGGCAGUCGAGGGGGCUCACUCCUCCGUGGGAUUGGCCCCUGGUGUAAGAGACCCCACUACAGAGCUCACCCAGCUUCCCCCAGUGCUGCACUCUCCUCGGUGUGAUGCUCCCGGGGUCUGGGGCUGCACAGCGCACCCAUCUGCCUGCAUUCUCGCCCUAAUCCUCCUCUACGGAUUCAGGGAAGCUCAACUCAGUAGCUGGGCAAAGAAAAGACAAAACCCCACCUUUCCUGCUAAAGACAGAGACAUGGGAAACGCUGUCAAGUCCUGCACUUGGCAGGAAGCAACAUGGGGCCACACCUAGCACCCCAGCGAGUGCCCUAGAGCCCCAGUUUCUUUUUUCUGUCCAUGCUAAUCGCUUCGUUGUACUCAAUGCCAGGAAUGCAGAGGAGCAAAUAAACACUCCAAAGAGAUCUCCUGGCCUGCAGUAGAACGCUACAGGUCGCAUGAAUUCCCGGGGAACUCAAGUGACAGGAGCUAAGCUAAAAGGGCAGCUACCCAAAGAUGUUACACCAGCUGGAGCAUUCAUACAGGCACAGCUAGACAGCGAUGGACGGGGAAUUUGCUGUUGAGUUAAAUCUUCCCCGUCUCAGAGUAUUUUCUGAUUUCUGCUCAUUCCCUCGCUUCAUCUUUUCCCUUAACUAAGCAAAUGAACCUCCACCCUAAAUUGCCAGCUUUCGCUCAUAACUCUUUCCUGACAAGAACAGGGCAAACUUUUUUUUCUUUUCUUUUCUUUUCUUUUUUUUAGCAAAUCCGCCUCCAAGUCAAAGUACAGCCCCAUGGUCCCCUUUUUAACAUUGCAAACUGCUGGUAUGGUCUGUGGCCUUCUGCAGCCGCCGCCCAUAGCCAGAACGGAGCCCUUUGGGGCAAUGCAAUAUUAAGAAAUAAUAGGCAGACGCAAGAAGGCCAAACAACAACAACAACAAAAUCCUUCCGGGGUCUUUUUUUUUGGGGGGGGGGGUUGUUUCCCAGUUUGUUGAGCUCAAAAGGCGAUAGUUUCACGUAGAUUUUGUCCCGCCGACGCGCUUCAGGGAGCCCAACUUUCUUGCUAGCCUGUCACUGUUCUUGCCAUGGUGCCUUGCCGCCCAGACGGCAGCUUUCGAGCUCUUCACAGCCCCUUCUCUGGACUAAAGCGAGAGUUUGAUGCACGUCGCCCAGCGUAGGGAAACGGGGGCAGGUACCUUUUGGAAGGAGCCUUUCAUGGCGACAGCACAAUAGGCACUGCCGAGCUUUGCUUUGGUUUUUUUGACUGGCAGGCUGCCUCCCCUUUUCCGAGAGAACACACGAAAGGCAAGAAAGGGGGUUCUGUCCAUCUCGAUACUUCCGCGAUCGGUGCUGAGGGAAGGCCAUUGUCCAUCGUACCCGGGCACUGGCUAAAACCUGCCGCAAGGACUCAUGAGAAGGGAUUCUUGGGGGAAUGUCAGAGAAUUCCAAGGCGGGAGACCUAAAUCUAAAGGAAAUCACAGCAAACCCUAUUUAGCUGAACCGCACAAUAUUCUGGACCUCGUGGUAGUGAUUGAUCUAGAACGAUUAAUCAACACCAGCAGCCUUUCUCCAGCCUCACACCUAAGUGCCCAGCGGGAUGCAGCACUGGAACAGGGCAGGUGGAUUUGCCAGUUUAAGAGCUUUUUUUUAAACAAUAUUAUGUAGCAGCAAAAAGCGACUAGUCUUAGAAAGAGAGGGAGGAAAUUAAAAUCUUAAAUCACAAUUGGCUGAUUUAUCUUGGGAAUUAACUCGUUUGCUUCAGGAAAUAACCUCUUUGCAUAGGCUGCCAUUCCCCACUGGUCAGCCCUGCUCAAGAUGUGAAUCUGUAGAGUAACUACGUUGUAUGUGCCAUUCAGCCGGAUUCAGGUGUUGACACUGGCUGAGCCUGAAUGUCCCGUCGUGUGUUGCCUUGUAACAAUAAGCAGUCUUCACUCAACUGCAGCCGGGUGUGCAAAGGUUGACUAGUGCUAAAAUGCGCUUUCUUUACUCCUGGCGCCGAACUAAAUCCUGAAGUCCUCCUCUCCCAACACCAUUUAUGCUUUAGGUGACAGUAAAAUAAAUAGCCUGGCUGCUUAAGCUCACGUUUUCCUUCCUUUGUCAGUCAAUAAUCCCAGCCCACCACACAGCCCCGAAGUUUGUGGUUUAUAGUUUGUGGCCCUGAAGUUCUCCACAGCCACAGAGCGGGGGUUGACAGUUUGAUCUCUGUGUGUAAAAUCAAAUGUAGGCAAAGAGAUCCCUGUCGGCUACACGGAAGGGGAAGGUUCAUGUAGGGGCCUUAUCCCAAGUGGCAGGCAGGCUGAUGUGAAAAACAAAACAGGCUGCAGGGCUAAACUUCCCACGUUUAUAAGGUAACAAACGUGGGGCAUAGUUUGGACAAAACAGGGGCACUCGGCCCACUUAUUCCAGCCAACAUACCUUAGCAGCACAGCUCGAGUUCGGGGUGGAAGGUGGAUUAGCCUUUAAACUGCAGGGAUCAGGUUGGAAAUUAAAGACAUGGCAUUCAUACCCCUCACCUUCCAGCUCACCCUCUCUCCGCCCCACCCCACAUACAGUAGACACAGAGACAUUAGAUAGGCAGGCAGGCGCACUCAUCCACAUGCUUCUUUCUUUCUUUCUUUCUUUCUUUCUUUCUUUCUUUCUUUCUUUCUUUCUUUCUUUUUAAACUGGUAAUAGUGGGGAGCCGGGCAUAAUCCACCCAGACUUUUUUUCCUUCCCUCUUCAAACACAUAGAUAAUUCCACUUUUUUUUUGAUGCUCCCCAUGUAUAAAUGUGAGCCCAGUGAAUUAGAUUCGUAGCCAUUUUAAGGCAAACACAGGAGUGUGGUGAGGAAAUAGGAUUUUUUAGGAUGGAGCCUUCCAUACGCUCAGUUAUUAUUAUGAUUAUUUUUAACAUUGAUAGUCAAGAUUUUAGUGGUGAUGAAUUUGCGCAUAUAAGGUGGGGCUCGUCGAGAAUUUCUUUCCCUUGCAUGGCAGUCGAAAGACCAUCUAUGUUCUGCUUAAUUAUUUCAAACUGCUAACCUUCAAUAGAGAGUGUAGCCCUCAUUGUGAUAUAGACAUACGUAGAUCUGUUAUUCUUUAGACAUUUCUUUUGAUAACAGCACUGUGAUGAUCUUGGUUCUCUAAUACCACUUGAAAGCAAAAUUUUUAUUUGUAGUUUCCUAUGUUCAGCGGCUGCAGAAAUAACGUGAAAUUGCACUUUAAAAAGUCACGCAGAAAGAUAAGAAGAUCAGUUGCUAAAUGAUAGUCAGUUUUAGCACUGUAACACACCUAUGUUCAUAAUUGCUGCAAGAACAGCAAUUGAAAUGCCAGGUUUGUAUUAUAAACCUUCCUCUGAUCUAAGCUUUUAGUUGACAUUUUCCCUUGAGUCAUGACUUAGAGUAUUAUAAUGAGUUACCCUUUCAUCACACAAAGGAUGUGGUUUUGUUUGCCUUUUUGUUUUGGUUGAGUAUCUUGUGCAGUAAAGAUUGGACUUAGUUUUAUCCAGAAAUAUAAGCGUAGCAAAACAUCUCAUUGUACUUUGUUUCUUAUAGCUACUUUCUCUUUAAUACAAUUAGCUGUUUCUGCUGAAUAAUGAUAGGUCUGAUGCAUUUUUAAUGCAUGUAUUCUUAGUCAUUGUCUAAAUUAACAUUUUGAUGAUUGUAGAUUUUUUUCCCCUCUAAAAUCUUUAGGGGAUUGCUAUGUUAUGUGUUUAAUAACAGCCGAAAUAUAAGGUCUGAUCAGAGAAAUAUUAGGUGGGUCAUCAAAAUUAGCUGGAAAAUGUUGUAAUUCUAGCAGCCAUUAUGCUAUUGAGCGUUUAAGCAUUUCCCAACAGCCUUCUUAAAGAAACAACCUUUGAGUUUCAGUAGUAACUCUUGGGAUCUGACACACACAUUUUCAUCCGAACUCAUAAAAAUCAGCUAGGCUUGACUUCCAAGUAACACAUCAGUAAGAAUAAGCUGUGCAUACUAAGGGCCUGAUUCUGUGAACAUUUGGCUUCAAUGGGACUUCUUGUGGGAACAAGGUUACUCAUGUAUACAGCUAAAGCAUUCAGGGCCCAAUUCUCCCAUUCAAGUCAAUGGCAUAACACCAACUGACUUUAUUGUCGGCAGGAUAGGGUCCUAGUCCCAAAGGUUUUUAACAAGAUUUACAACAUUUAUUUCAUGACUUUUACAUGUGAAUCCUGACCACUGAAAGUUUAAUCUGUUCUGUAAAUGUCGUAAUCCUGUAAAGGCUUGCAUAUUGGAGUAACUUUACACAUCUGAGUAGUCAAUAGGGCUAUUGUGUGUCUAAAGUUACUGGUGUGUAAUUCUUUGAAGGAUCAGGGCCUUCUUUUGUAAACGUAACUGGCUUUAGGAGUAAGUCCAUAAAAACAAUCAAAUGCUCCCCUGACUUAGAAGUCUAAUCCUGCAAAGUGCUGAGCCAUUCUUGAGAGAUGCUGAAUGCUUUCAGCUCUCACUGAUUUCAACAGGAAGUGAGACCGCUCAACCCUUUGUAGGAAUGGGCCAUUAAGUCUGUAUAACCCCAUUGCAUGGGCACAAAUGAAAGCAGAAUAUGUCCCAAGAGAAGAUUUGCUUUAUUAAAGAUAGGAGAAUUCAUUUCUAUUUUCCAUUGCAGUCCAAGAAACACCCUGCUUAGGACUACUCAGAGUAGCUAGCACUGCCCUUGGUAGUAAGUGUUUUCCGGCUCAGGUCCUAAAUUAAUUGGUGUGCACUUCAAUCUGAUUUCAUGUACUCUUUCCCAUAACAAACACCUCUCUGAUACAUGUAAAUACAAUUGACAGAGGGGCAAAUACAUGAAAAAUGGAUCUUGCUGCUAUAAGUCUGAUACAAACGAAAAGAAGUCUCACUCUUGCAGUCCCAACGUAGGCUAAAGUCCCACUGACCUCAGCAAGGACUGCAACAUUAGCCUGUGAUCUGUGUUCAAUAGCCUCCUCCCACAUGCAAAUUUCUACAGCACAAUAGUCGGAUUGCAUCAGGUUAGGCAGGUUUUAUUCCUUUCUGACCAAUCCUGCUUUCUGAUGCAUCCAAGAGCCUCACUGAUUUCAAAGGGCAUUUGGGGUUCACAUAAUAUGUAGGAACAGGCACUAGCCAUUCAGAUUUUAUGCUCAAGUUAUUUCUAUAACAAUUAAUUGCACUUCACCAGCCUAGGUGACUGCUAAGAUUCAGAGAAUUUUCUUAAAGAAACACACAUAAUCUGUCAUCUAUCCCUCUGCACCUUUAAUUGUGUUUCUUGAGGACUGAACAAACUGGUCUUUUCCUUUAGAUUUCAAUCUCACAUUAUUGUAUAGCUACACAGUUGGAAUUUUAUGCUUUAUAAGCAUUGUAUACAAUUAUACAAUGGGCUUUUGUAUCAAUUUUUUAAAAUGUAACAUUUUAUUAUAAAGCAAAAGGAAGAGAUUUAUUACUUUUAGCUAUUAUAUUAUCCACUAACAUUUUGUUGAAACCGUAACCAUAACACCAAUUACAAAUUAUCAGAAAAUGUUACAGGAUUCAACCUUUAUCCCCUCAAACAUUUAAAUAUGUAAACAUUUAUUAGAGAAUCUCCCCCGAACCUUUUCUUUACAUUCCUUUAAUAUUUAUGAUUUUGAAACCAAAGUUAUUCAAAACUCAAAUGUCUCAUCGGUCUAUUGUGCAUUUUAUCAUAUAACUAGCAUUCAUAGAUAUGAAAUGAAACUAUAUGAAACAGCGGCCCCUAGAGAAAUUAGAGUAAUAGGUGGAAAAUAACAAAAGGACUCAGAUCGGAAAAAAAUCAGAACUCAUACAACUCUGAGAAAUAGCCUGAAACACAAGUAUUCAAAGGGAGAGAGAAUCCUGGAGAAGUGUAAAGUUGUAAAAGGCCUAGAGGUGAUAGUGGAGAGCAAAUUAGACAUUACUUUGCAAAAUGAUAUGGCAGCAAAAACCACUAACGACAUUUGGGGCUGAAUGUGCAGAGAUAUUGUGUCAUAAAACAGAGAGGAAAAAUCAUGCAACAGCUGUGUGUGUGAUCUCACUUGGAUUAUUACAUUCAGUCUGGGGAUUAUAUUUCCAAAAAUAUUGUGACCAGUUGGUGGCAGAUGAGAGAAGAACAGAAAAAAUAAUCCAAGGGGUGGAGGGACUGAUUUAUUAGGAAAAAGUAAGAUAGCUAAAAGAGGGGGAAGGAUAGCUCAGUGGUUUGAGCAUUGGCCUGUUAAACCCAGCGUUAUGAGUUUAAUCCUUGAGGGGGCCAUUUAGGGAUCAGAGCAAAAAUUGGGGAUUGGUCCCGUUUUGAGCAGGGGGUUGGACUAGAUGACCUCCUGAAGUCCCUUCCAACCCUGAUAUUCUAUGAUUCUAUAAAUGGAAGCAAUAAAUAGCCAAGAUUUCAAUUCUAGAAGGGAGAGUGCCUUUUUAGGGUGGUGCAUGAAGGCAUGUCUGGGACACAUGCGACGAAAUUAAGAAAGGAACAAUUCCAGCUGGAUAUCAAGAAAAACUCCCUUUAAGUGGACCCAAUACUGCUCCCAUUUUAGCCAAUUGAGACUUUUGAAAGCAGUGAAAUAGCCUCCAAGGGGAAGCCCCUUGACUUGGGAAAUUUAAAACUAGAUUGGCCAAACUACUAGAAAAGGUACUGCAGGGAACAAUCAUCCUGCAUUGUCAGGGAGAUUGAAUUUUGGAGGUCUUUCCCAUCUCUAAGUUCUGUGAUAUGAUUCUAUGAAAUUGAAAUGACUCUAGUAUUUCUCUCAUAUUUUGUGCCAUUAGAAAGAAGUAGGGCCAUUACUGUCUUUUUAAAGUUUCCAAGUAACUCUCUUAAAGUGAAUAUAUUUCAGAUGCACUGUAGAAACUCGUGUCCACCUUAAUCUCUUAUCUGUUUCAAAGUCAGUUGUCACCAUAAUAUUGUUCUGUAUUAGUUUAUUUGAAUUUAUAUGUAAUGUAUACCCCCUUUCAAAUUAUUAAACAUUAGGUAUGAAAUCAAUGUUGAAAUACUCUAGCUGAAUUUCCUUUAAUAUUAAAAAACGCUGAUUCGUAACCUUUGUUUGUAAUAUUAACAGUUCUCUUGAUAAGUUAGGAAAAUACCACAAAGUUCAUUAAUCUCUGGAGUUCAAACCAGUCUUUUAAAUAACUGAAAAUCAAUGGCAAAAUGAUCACUGUGGGAUUGGUCUUCUUUAAUGGGAGAUACAGUAAUAUCCUGAACUAGAACUGAACAUUAUUUAAUUGUACAGCCUGUAACCAAAAAGAAGCAUCUCGUUGCAUCUUAUAUGAACAUUUACAUAGCAAAUGUAGAUCUCAUAUGCUCAUAUCACAUUAUCAAAUGGCAAUGUCUUUGUAAGGAUUCACAUUGUCUUACCAGGAAGUUACUGGUUGAUUGAAAAUUCAUAUUUUAAAACUGUAACACUGUCAUUAUUCAUUAUAGACUUUUCUGAAAAGACAAAUGGCAACAGAUAAGAGCCAGGAGACUUGAUUCAUUAAUACAUUAUGCCCUUUGGAGUCAAACAUUUUAAUAGUUAUACUUUAAGAAGUAAUUCAUACGGCUGUUCUAAGCAUAUGACUUCUUCAACCAUGAUGUAGAACAACCUUUCCCUAAAAUCUAUAAUUAUACAGUUCAGCAGCUGCCAUUUUAUUGAGAUAACUGUUUGCGCUCCCUGGUAUUGUAGUUAAAGGUGACUUGCAAAGGAAAAAAUGUGCUUGUGCCUUUUCUCCCCUGUUUUGUGAUGUAAGAGUUUUUAUCAAUUUGUAUUUUACUUUAGAAAUGUCAGGCACAUUAAAUUCCCUGUUUUUCCUAAAGGACUUGGGGAAAUACUAGGGAAAUGUAGUGGGAGCUUUGUCAGACAUCAAUUGAAGAAGCAGAGAUUUUUUUGAAUCUUUAAGAACAAGAGCUUUGCUCCCAUGUUUGUCAAAAUCUGAGUUAAGUAGGGAUUAAUAAAACAAAUGAAAAACAAAAGGUUUUUUACACAAAUUGGCUAAAAAUCAUUUCCCCUCUCAACUGCUCAUGUUUCAAUUUCUUGUCUCUCGUGAUGUCAUAAUCCCAUUAUGUCUCCUGUGAUGUCAUAAAACACUCGGUCUUCAGUCAUUCAUCGAGUUCCUCUGUAAAACCUGGACAUACAAACCCUAGUAUUUCUAUGGUUGACACAAGAGAAAAACAACAUUCAGGUCUCCUUUGUGCAUCACAAAGACUAUGGGCAAAAGGGCACAAACAAAACUUUAUUUUUUACAGGUCUCCUUGAAAGUAGGAAUUUACUCUUCAUGUCUAUCUGAACAUUUAGCCACUCAUGCUGCUCACUUUACUCAUGCUAAUAGGCUUGUUGAUUCAAUGGGUGUUUAACAGAAAUAUAAAGGAAGCAGGAUCAAAUUUGAUUUGGAAUAGCCCGGGAGGCCAAAAAAAAAAAUUUAGCUUGAGCUUUUGGACUUUAACUAUUACCACAUUUAAUUAUAUUUAGAAUAUUUCACAUAUUUAUUUAUUGCAAAACAUAAACAUUGGCUCAGCAUAAUAGCUCUGCUUUUUUCCUAGUAAAACCUCUCUUCUGAGAUUAAUUCCAGAGCUAGCAAUUAGGUCAGAAUUUUGUUUCAUAGAAGUCAGCAGCUCAUGCUGACAAAGCUUGGCCUUCUUAGUGAUGAGCUGUUUGCUGCUCAGAAGUGUGAGGAAUGGCUUUCUAAAACAUCGACAGCUGGCUUUGUAUUACACAAUUCAGUAUCAAACUUGUAGCUGACCAAACAGAACUUAACUUGCAAGUAUCAAUGUACUACAGCUAGAAUAGUGAGGGGCCAAUGGGUUAGAACCAUAUUCCUUCCUCUAGGAAUUUUUAUUUUUAAAUAAGUGACCAAACUAUCCAUUAGUGUAAAUCAGUGCAGUUCUCCUGACGUCAAAGGAGCUAUGUCAUUUAUACCAGGCUAGGAUCUGGCCUAGAGACUUUAAAAGGCAUAGCAAAAUUUGAGCAAAAGCAUUGGAUUUCUAUGAUAAUUUAUUUUAAAAAAAUUAUAUGUGCUUUUUAUUCCCAUAGAUCCUUGACAUGGCAAUGUAGCUGCAAUGGCUGCAUACCAUUUAACAAGAAACUAGAGUGCAAAAUAUUCAUCCCCAUGUGGUUUGACAGACAUGUGCACAGAUUUCAAAUACAGGCCUGGAUGCCUCCUUUCAACCAUAAAAGGAAAGCAGGCAAGACUCACAUCCAACCCAAUGCAUUAUGCAUCAAUAAUGUGAGACAACAUCUAUCUACACACUGAACACUGGAAAUGAUUGAGUUCAUACAUAGCUGUGUUAGGGAACCCUACCUGUACCUGCAUCCAUAUCUUCUAUUCUUAGACUCAUGGCAAAUAUUCAGGCAAUGGGGAGAAGGGACACACCAUAAAGCUUAACAUGCCAAGGAAAAUCAACUCAGUGCUCAAAAGACGGAUCUAUGGUGAAGACCAUCAAUACAUACUACCUAGUAGGACAGUGAUAUUCUGAAGGGGAAAUCCAACCAAAUAAAUAUCAGGGGGUAGCCGUGUUAGUCUGUAUCCACAAAAACAACAAGGAGUUCGGAGGCAUCUCAAAGACUAACAGAUUUAUUUGGGCAUAAGCUUUCGUGGGUAAAAAACCACUUCUUCAGAUGCAUCAGGCAUCUGAUGAAGUGGGUUUUUUACCCACGAAAGCUUAUGCCCAAAUAAAUCUGUCAGUCUUUAAGGUGCAACCAAAUAAAUAUGGGUUUGCAGAAAAAAAUACUAGUACUAAAUAAGUGACCUGCUGAACCUGAACAGAUGGUGAAAUUUUCAUUGCAUUUACCAAAAGAAAACUGUGUUCAAGAAGGACCAUGGAAUAAGAGGGCAUAAACAGUCUGAUGUUCACCAAAAUCUAUUGUCUAAUACACUGGAGACUUUGAUCAGUAACAUUUCAUUUUUACCUAUGAUAAAGAUUGCUGAUGUAAUAAAGCCAAGUCCAGUGUUUUAUUGGCUGCAUAAGUCUCUGUCAUGGACAUUGAAACGAUUGUAAUCAGGUACAGCUUUAACAUGCACACUGGUAUGGCAAUGAAUAGUCACUCACCUAUGAAAAGUUUGUCAUAAAUUUGGUUUCAAAAAUAAUCCUAAAAACCAGUUCAACCUAAAAGGCACUUUUGUGGUAUAUUCUUCUUCUUCUUACUUCAGUGGGACUUGUCCGUACGCUCUAAAGCUUUUUUCUUCAUCAAUCCAGUAUGGAUAAUAUACAUCUUAUGCAAAUAAGAAGAAUCAGGAUCCUCCGUGUUAUAUUAUAGAUUGGGUGGAAAUUGGCCAAAUCUCUUUAGAAUAUAACCAUAUAUAAUACAAAAAGUGAGAAAUCAAACUUAGUAUGCUUAGAUAAAGGCAUGGGGGUAGGAGGGAGCAUUAUAGCAGUAAUUUUGGACAUUUGACCUCUAUGAAUCCAUCCUUCCUUCUACCUAUUUACUUUAGCUAGGGUUUGUAUCCUUUAGUAUUUCUUUCCUCUAAAGUGUCUGUCCAAUUCCUUUUGGAAUAUGUUCAGAGAUGUAGUCUUUAUUGGCUUAGGUAGUUAGUUCCACACAUUUGUUAUCCUUUGCAUAAAGGAACUGCUUUUAAUGCUUUUUGUGUUUUCUUAUUUUAGGGACAAAAUCUGCUCUCACAUCAGAGUAAAUCCAAACUAGCUCCACUGGUGAAAAUGGAUUAAUUCUGGAUUUUUUUCUCCACUGUAUGUGAGAGAAUAAUUUGGCUUUACCGUCAGUUUGUGUUCUGCUCUUUUCAGUCCAUUACCUUCUUGGAGUUUCUUUGCAUCCACCCUUCCUGUACCCCUCGAAUUUUCAUACACUUAAAUUUCCUCCCAUAAUAUUUUCUUCUGAACAGUGCACUUCACUUCACAGUAACUUACAGAGCCAUUUAAGAAUGUGCUCCAAAGGUGCACCCCUCCAGAGCUGGAGGUUCAUGGUCAUGCUAAGGAAAUGUUGAAGGGCAAGUAAAUUGGCAGGUAUUUUUAGGACUCUGUGAGAAGAGGUAGGAGUCUCUACAUGACAGAAAAGAAGGUGUCAGAUUUGAUCUGAUAUUAGUCAUUUCAGUCAAGAUUUUAAUAAACUGGGGCCUGAAGUUCAGCUCCUAAAUUCAUAUUUAGGCAUCGAAAAGUAGCCUGACUUUUGAGAGCUGCAGGGUGCUUGGGGGUUUAUAAAACAUACCAGAUAACAUAUUUAGGCACCUUAAACAUGAUCUGAAUUAUGAUCCUGACUUUACGAUCCCAUUUUUAGAAAUUAGAUUUUAAUCUCAGACAUAGAGAUGUGCAUCAAGGUGUACCUUGGAAAAGACAUUAUAGAUUUGAUGCAAAUAGGCUCACUAGUGGGCAUUCAAUAAAAAGGUUAUGUGCUAAUGCAUAUCUGAGUUUAGAAUCAAGCCCAGUGUAACAUGUCAUAUGCAAAGAAAAUUGUCACAUGAAGAUAAAGGAAAUGCUUGCAGAUGAAGGGACACAAUGCCAGUAUUGUUCGUGAUUCAUCUUGGAUACUUCCUACGGCUUUAGUUGCAUAUCACCUGAAGCUACAGGUCAGUGACUCAGAGACUAUAGUUGUAUUCCUGCAGUCCUGCUGCAAGCAUUUGUGCAUAAGUUUUGGGUCCUAUAAAGAAAACACCAUGGCUUCUUUUUUCCAAUUUGAUUGUUGCUAAAUUAAGAGUAAAAAGCGGUUAAGGAAAAAGCAAAACAGAUUCCUGUGAUUUCCUGCCCCUUAUUUUAAAAUGAAUAUGAUUAAUUGUCUUUUUCAUAAAAAUGGGAGACUGACAGCGAACUCUGGGGGAAGAAGGCAUCUUUGGGUAUGCAUCAUGCCAGGUUCUCACUCAGUUCUGCCAAACAACCUGAAAUCUUGAUUUAAAGCAACUCUGCUGUGUCCGUUCUGGCAAUUUCACAUAAACAGAGUCUGCCAUUUAUGGCAUAUGGAGCCAAAUUGUAUGGUAGUGUUGUAAAGUGAACAAACAUCCACUGGGAAUUAGCCUAGCCUACGAAACGCAUUUUCAUUAUUUUAAAUCAAAUUUGAAUACAGCUCGAGCAAUCUCUGUGACUCUUUUUCCUUUUUGUUUUAAGGUAAUUUAUUUCUUAUGAAAGGGAACACUAACAUAUCUGGAAUUUGGUAGCCUCUGUUUCUACACAGAAUAGGAGAACAAGAAACUUCUCCACGCUACCCCAUGAAUGUACUUCCCCUCUGGCUGGAAAGAACAAGCUUUGGGUGACAGGGUAUUUCAGAUUCAAAGAUCCAUGCAAAUCCUAAGUCCUAAGCAUCUUUUUAAGAUUGUCAUUGAAGAUGCCAACAUUAUGAUUUCAGAGAAGAAUUCUGCUUAAAACCUGUCAGUCUAUGGCCCAAUUUUGGUGUCAUGGUACCAGCUCUGCAGAAAUAGAAAAAGCAGAAAACACCCAAAAUGUGACAUUAUAAAUUGUGACAUUCUAAUAAAAUAUACAAAUAUGAUGCUUUCUGGGGCCAUGAAUCAGUAAUUCAUCCCUACUCAGCAAAGCACUUAAGCACAUGCUUAACUUAGGCAAGUGCUUAAGUCCAAUUGACUUCAAUGAGACUUAAGUGCAUGCUUAAAGUUAAGAGCAUGUUGAAACAUUCUGACGAAAUGGGGCCUAACUGAAUACAUUCACUUAAGCAGGCUGAUGCAUAGGCUUUAGAAAUAUAGGACCAAAUCCCUCACUGAUGUAAACUGGGGCACCUCCACUGAAGGUCUGGAGCAUAGUUGUUUGAUGUCAUACAAUCUUUUAUGUAUUUUCUGAAUAAAUGCCAUUUUUCCAAAGCCGUAUUGUAAAACAAAGAUGUAUUAUAUAAAGCCUGAACAGGUUGAUAUAAUGAUACAUUGCAACAUGUUUUGUUUAUUCUUUCUGUCUAAUCAAGUGUUCAGUGAAAAGUCCUAAAAAUGAGCAUUACCACCUUGUGAGGUGGUUUGUUUUAUUUCAAAGGCAAGACAUAGCCCUUCAUUUUCUAGUGUGAAUUUUAUGAGAUCUAUCCUUAUUAUAUUUGGCAGCUCACAAAUAAAUGCCCUACAGUUAGUGUUUCCAAACUAAGUAUAUUAUAGAGAUUUGUGAUAGCAUAUAACUAAGGGUACUAUGUCUUUAAUGGCAUAGAAAGAUCAUUUAAAUCCUUAAAAUAGCUAACAAAAGCUUCAACCAAUACACAAAAAAUAAGUUAACAGUAAUUAAUGUUGCCAGACUGUAACCUUAGCAAACUACUGCCAGCAAGGGUCUCUUGGUGCACUCAAGAGGAUGCAGUUAGACUGUUGGUGCCUGCAAACAAGUUGGGAAUUGUAAACACUGCAAUUAGCAGUAAGUUUCUGUAUCUUAACUUGCCAGACUAGUGGUCUGAUUCUUGGCGCAGUUGCCUCAAGGGAGGAGGGAAUUAGUGCAACCUUGCAUUGCCCCACCAAUGUAUGCCGUGGAUCAGUGUUUUUCUUGGCAAAGAUAUCUGAUAAGGAAUUAAAAAAGCAAAAUUGCAGCCUUACCACAAACUGUGAAACUCACUGCAGGCACCAACCAAGCAACUGUCUAGCUCUUCCUCCGGCAAGCAUAAAUGAACUGUACAGUUCCAGGGUGUCUCUACAUACUCUAUUGUGGGGUCCUAUGUUGAUAAGGUUAUCAACAAUAAUGGGAUUAAAAGAGUUAAAAUCCAGCUUUGCAGUAAUCCUGAAAUACUCUGUUGUUGAGCUACCAAAGAUUACGUUUAUGGUAACCUUAUUAACCCUUGGUGUUGUGUAAAUAAAAAGGAAAUGUCAACCUUAAUGCCACCAUAAAAUUAAAUCUUCACAUCACUAAAUGGUAAUUUAAACACAGCUUACUCCAUCCAAACACAUUUGAUGAAAAUACUGAACCUGGUUGAUCUUGGGAAAUUCCAGCUGGAGAGAGAAAGUGCUUAUUUUUUUGUUUAAAAUUAAAACAAUGCUUAACAGGCAUGUAUGUCUACGGAAAGUUUAAUCAUAGACAAUGGAGAGUUCAAAAAAAUAAUAAUGAGGGAGAAAGUGGAUAGGAGACAUUUUACAAGUACUUUACUUGGGGCCAGUGGAGGUUCUGCUGGCCACCAGCUAAUAGUGCAACAACACAACAGGGUGGGAAUGAGGAAUAGAUUACAGCGAGCAAUUUUAUUGUAGCUACAUGGAAGAAAGUUAGUUGUCAUCUUCUAGUGGGAAUCAGAGAUGUUAAGUGUUGCUAAAGUGCAAAGAAUUAUUUUCCCCAAAAUGAGUGCUUGAGUUUAGAUCAAAGGAUUGUCCCAGAAGCAUUCUCAGUGCCAAACAGCAAAAGUGAUAGCAAAGUGAUAAAAAGAAAGCAGUGGGAAGAAAAUGAUAUGGUUAUUAAUCAUUCAGAAAACUUUGAGGCAGAUCCUGGGCUGGUGUAAAUUGGCAUAGUUCUACUGGCUCCAAUGAAGCUAUGCCAAUUUAGGUAUAAGGUGAGGAUUGGUCCCAUCGGUCCCAAUGGCCUCCUUUGCACACCCCUCACCAUUUGUGUUAAGCAACCACCUUGUGGUAUGUUCAGCAGCUAACUUAGCACAGGCAUACAAAUUGUGUGAUGUACAAGGUAUUUCGUAUGAUAUCUGUUGGAUUUUUGGGGCAAGAACGACUCACAUUUCUUGUGGAGACAGAGUAGUAAUCUUGCACUGAUAUGCCUUCUUCACAAUGGAGUCAGUGCUUGAAGAAGCCAGAACCAUUCUCAUAUAGCACGUUCCAUCCCUCCCCCGCAAAAGAAAACAUAAAAAAAAUAUAGGGCCUCAUUCAGAAAUUAAUGGGACUAUACCCAGAUUAAGAUACUAUUCAUAGUAAGUAACAGUGGCACAUUGAGCUGUGAUAAGCCUGGAACCAAUCUUGGCACUCUUUAUGCACAGGUACUACGGGCAGUGCAUCCACUGGAUUACACUCCUUUUGCUAGUCAGGGGGAAUGGGAAGGGGGAAACACAGAUAAUACUGAGCAUCAAAGGGCUAUCUUCCCUUCUUCCUUCUCCAUUCUUCUCUCCAUUGUCCAACCGUUGUAGAGAUUACAUAACUGAAAAUCUCACUGCAGGUAUCAUGCAUGGAGGCACUAACUCUUCAGGUGCCAUCUGAACCCAGGUAGAGAACUCUUCAGAAGGCAGAAGGUGCUGCAGGAGAAUAGUAGUGAUUUCCAUGGGACUAUUUGCAGAGUAAGGUAUUAUGGCACCUGACUAAGGUGCAGAAUAAGGCCCAUUGUAAAUAGGUAUCUGCUAUGUGCCAACUUGGAAAUAACACCUCUACCGUAGGAUGAGAGGAAGUUUUUCAGUAGAAGAGUAGGAACAAACUAUUCUUCUACCUCCUUUCAAGCAUUUCUUCCUUUAUGUCCUCAACUUUAUAUGAGAGCUCAGUUCAGGGUUGCUGUUCUGAGGACAUGGGCCAGAUUCUGUGCUGGUAUAAAUUGCCACAGGCUGGAGAGGUGCCAAUUUAUGCCAGUGGCAGCAGCUGUGCCAGCAGAGAAUUUGGCCCUCUACAUCUGGACUGUCACUAGGACUGCGGCUGCUAUCAUUGCCACAUACAGCCAUUGCAAAUUCUUUAGCUCUAGCUUAUUUUGGUUUCUAACAGUUCAUCCCAUGGCAGAGGAAUAAGCAGCAGGCCCUUGGGGUUCCUUGGGGAUAUCACCAGUUUCCUAUAUGGAUAUAAUGCUAUUUUCCAGGUAUAUCCCUUUUCUGGACAAUAUCUCAAUAAAACCGUAAAUUGCAGCAGCAAAAGAAAUAGCAACAAUGGCAUAUCUCUUUAUAGUAAUUAUAGUAAUUGCAUUAUGUGUGUACUGAGGAUCCACAAGGGGCUGGAUUCUCUCUUAGCCAUUUUCCUGCACUAGAAAAGCCACCUUUGUGCCUAAUUCAGGCUUGGGCCAAGUGCCUGCUUACUUCCUGGUACAGCUUAGAGCAGCUCCAGCAUUGCUCCUCUGUGGCCUAUUAUGAUGCUGCUAAAUAGCCAAAGCAUUGGCCCCUCUCACCCCAUCUUCACCUCCAUGCUGUCCUUAACACACCACCUGCACUAGGGGCAAGGAAGGGGGCAGGCAUAGACCCUUUAAUCCUUCACAUUGAAUCUAAGAUGGGGGUGAAUUCAUGGCAUGAAAGCGGGAUUUUGCAGGGCAGUUUACAUAGUCUGCUUGGUGCAGAAGGAUUCAUAAGGCACCUUCAUCCCCACAACGUUUUCCUGCUGUUGUGGCUUUCACGUCAGGUAUUAGGGGAAGCUGAAAGGCAGACAGAGAUCCCGAGAGGGUGAAUAAUGGCAGCACUUCUUUAUAGCUACUGAAGGGACCAUCUACUUUUGGAACUAAUUAUGUUUCUGGUUCUACAGGGCUCAGACCUUGACAUGAGCUAUUGUGGCUCUUUUGGAAACCUUUUGAAAUGCCCAAGGCUCUGCACAAGAAUGAGAAGAGUGAUUUGUUUAGUCAGUGUACAUUUAUUUCUUACUCAAUAGAAGUGAUGCCAUUAUUGCCUUGCACCAUCAAGGUCCACAAAUCUAAUUUGGCCCAAAUCAUUGUCAGCAUUCGAGGAGUCUCGCCAGGUAAAACACAAACAAAGAUUCAGGCUACCUUGUUCUCCACUGGGGCAGGAACAAAGGUUUCCUUUGAUGGUCUAUACUAUGAAUAGCUGUAUGGCUGGCAUCAAAAAAACAGCUGGAAAAAAUGGGGUAACUGUUCAGAAUUGUCAGAAUAACUGAAACUAAAUUCCUAACAAAUACCAAGCGCUGCAGUUAAUCAGAGUGGAGCACUGUGGGCCACUCAACUAUGGGGAAAGACUGUUAGAAAAAAAAUUGCCCCCUAUCUGGGGCAGGCAGGGAAAGAGGGUCCAUACAUUUUGUUGGCAGGAUUAUCCCUACCUUACAGACCUUGAAAUAUAAAUCCACCUCCCCAGACCAGUGUUUUAACCACUGAAAAUAAAAUCUAUAAGGACAGAAGUUCCCAUAAUGUAAUAGCUGUAUAUUUUUGUGGCAAAGAUAAAAUCGUGGCUCAGGACUGGAAUAAACAAGACACUGCAUUGGGCAACACAUUGCCUUACCCAUGUGCUCCACGAACCCCAUCGGAGGGGGCUCAUAAGUGCAAGCUGCUAAGGCAGAGUAAAAUGUCAGCAUGGUGCAGAGGCAGCUGUGCCAUCUGGGAACAGGAAGGUGGCCAGAAAGAACACAGAGCCAGGAGUCCAUGAGAGCAGCAUAAAGGCCUAGAGAUCCAUCAUACUUGAACCUGCUUCUCCCAUAGAUUCCUUGGCCUCUGUGUGCGUCUUUGGCCCCACAUAUUUCUUGGCAUUUCUAAGCAGCUACUGAUCCCUUUCCAGUGGGAUUGUUCCUGAGAUCCACAUAUGGAGGGGAAGUAGAACUCCCUCCUCCUAUAGAGCAUGUCUGUGGAAGUGGGAGGCUCUGUCUCUGCAACACCAGCCUUUCUUCACUGGAUUCUUUAGCUCUGUCAUCUACUCUGGAGAGGUGAUGGAGACUAGUGGUGGGGCCAGGCUGCAUCAUCCCCACUCUGCUCCCACGGAGAGCCCCAGAGACGACAAUGCAGACUGUGCCUGUAGGGUCUUUUCCACACAUCCCUGGCAGCCACAUCAAGGGGGAAUCCUAAUGAAGCCACGCUGGGGUGUGGAGUGCCGCCAGGAGUCAAAGCCAGUGUGGAACUACAGGACCUCCACACAGAGAGACUGGCCUCCCAUGGACUUCUGGGAAUUCACCAGGGCAGCCUUUUUCCAGGGGGAGGUCCCAUAGCCAGUGCAGGAGUAUCCUCUCUCAGACCCUGCCUAUCCUUCAGAUUUUACCACAGGAGGGCAUGCUAUGGCUCUACCAAAGGGAGCAUAUGGCAGAAUGUCCAAGAGAAACAAUUAACGUUUACGUCAUCUCUGUAUUUGCACACGGUUGGGCUAAGGAAAGGAACAUACAGUCCUUAAAUACUAGAUUUAGCCAAAGAGAGAGUGGCAGCAUAGAAGCACAAGAGCACAGAAAGAACAGGCAGGCAGCCAGGCAAGCAGCUGAAACAAGGAUUUUUACCUUUGAAAAAUAUCGUUAAUUAGAAUAGAUUAAAUGUAUCUUAUGAAUAUUAUUAUUGUAUUAGAUAUUUUUAUCAAGCCAGGUUCUAAUCUCAGGUGUGCUGCCGUAACUCACGAGUAACUUCACUGACUUGAGUGGAGCCCCUCUGGAUUAACAAUGGUGUAAGUGAGCUCAGAAUCUGGCCCAGCAUGUGUAGAGUGAUCUGAUAGGUGAAGAGGCUGUAUAUGCUUGAUGAUUGUGCUUGUUUGGAUAUCAUUACAUGGGACAGCAUCCUCUUCAAUCUCUCGUAUGGAGGCUUUUGGCCAAACUACUAUAGCUAUAGUGGUGAUACAGGGGGCGAAAAUAAUUAUAAAAAUGUAGCUCUACAUCGUACCAAAUUGCAUCUUCUCUGGUGCUUUAGUAAAAAUCCCUGCCUCCACUGGCAAAUUCUCUAUCACCCCUUCUCCUGGCAAAGCCUGUGCUUCUGGCUCUAGCAUCUUCACUGAGUGCCUAGGUGAACAAACAAGGAGUUGCACUGAUAUUUGCCAUUCUGUAUCUGUUUCCUCAGACUUACAGGAAAUACAUUAAAUACGUGCUUUGGUUCAUGCCUCUUCUCUGAUGCUUGCAACCUGGAGCGGUUUCUCCCCUCUCCUAACAUGGGUUAGGUCCUGGGCUCUUUUUUUGUGACACCUCGUGCCUCUACCCAAGAUGACUCCUUACUGUUCUUGAGACACUGGGUGCUAUCCCUUGGGGGAAAUGAAUAAUGCUACUACUGCUGGCAAGGUGUAUAAAAUACAGUACAUGAACAUAACCCUUGCGAAGAUUUCGGACACCCAGAAUAUAACAGUAUAACAAAUCAUGGACUUUAUUCAGAGCAGAAAAAUAGGAUCUGAGGAAGGAAAGAGUUAGGGAUAAAUAAUAAGUACUAGAAUAUAAACAAAUGAACAAAUCUCCCACCUCCCAUCAGUCACAACUCUUCCCUGGCACCUUCCCAGGCAGAUGACACAGUGAGGAUGAGUCUGGAGAUAAGUGCUGCAGUGCUGUGAACAUUGGCUGACUCUAAAAAGGGUAUCCUUUACUCUGCCUUCGCCGCUUGGUGAGACAGGGCUCUCUCCUGGAUCCUUGGUCUGGAGUUCUGUGCAGGGUCUAAGCUGGCCUUUAGUACCCAGCUCUGAAUCAGCUCUCUGCCACUCUGGAGGCUGGUUUCUGCAGGGCUGGAACUGCCUGGCCCAUGUACUAGAUCUCACAGCAGUUCAAAGACGCCCUUUGUGGUGAGAAUCUCUGAGCCAUUCUGCUUCCCUCUCAGCUCCCAAACUCAGGUAGACAAAACUGAAACAAAACCUAGUUCCUUUAUCUCUGAGUCAGCAUCUUCCCUUGCACUGAGGGGGCUGAGUAGCCCUGGCUCAUCAUUGGCCCAGCAAACUCCUUGAUCGUAUCAACCCAUGCAGAAGCCUCCCAAUUGGUCUCAGCAGGAGUUUCCAGUCCAUUCUGUCCCCACCCCUGAGUCCAAGCAUGCUGGGAAAUGGUGUCCACGGGCUCUGGUAACUAUUACUGUUUUAAUCCAUAGGGCUGGAUACCCUAAAGGCUCAAUCCAGAGUGCCAGGAGCUGGCAAACUCCAAGUGGGAGUUAUAUUGAGGAUGGAAAAAAAAGUAAGAGGAAAGAAAAACUUUUAGAGGCUUGAUCUUGAUUGUAGGUAAACCAGGGUAAAUUAAGAGUAACUCCACUUAAGACAGUGGUGUUACACUGGUGCAAAACUAAUGGCAGGCUUGCCUGAAGAAGGACUCCAGGAUUGGGGCCAGUCUGAUUAGACUGAAAGACCCUGGUAAUUUAUAAAAUAUUGUUCAAUGAAUGAAUGAAUGUAAACGAUCACUUGUGUUGGAAUAUAAGUGUGUGUAAAUCUCAUGUUAAAUAUCCUAACAAUGAUCAAACCAUAGAGAGAAUAUAUGUUAUUUACAGUAUUAAAUAUUUCACCACAAGUAUGUCAUAUGCUAGUCUUUCUUAUUUGCUAUUGUUUCUCCUGGACGUCUUUUUGGGGUGAUUAGUAGUGCAGCCAUUUAUUUCCUCUCUGUUUAAACUGAAAACACCAAGUUCUGCCCUUGUGGCCACGUGUGUCAUCCAAUGCCUAAUCCUGAAGUCUGUACUCAAGCAAAACUCUCAUUCAUUUCAAUGGGAGUUUUUCCUGAGUAAGAACUACUAGAUUUCCUCAUGAAAACGAGCUACUGCCCACUGGAAAACACAUUACAGUAAUAAUUAUUCCUGUUUUUAACAAGGCGUUAGUUUGAACUAUAACCCUAAUUGUUUUCCAUUCACUGUCAGCAUUCAGAAGAUUCUACUUAAAUGUAGAAGCUGACUGAAAAUCACAUUUAUUAAACAAUUCAUGCUCUCCAAAUUUAGAUAUCAUGAUUGACAAAUGAUAUGAAAUAAGCAAAGAUUUUUCUCAAGCAGAAAGGCAUUUAUUUAUUAUGACAAGUUAACAUUUUAAGAUUAAGCGCUUCUGUUUUACAAGAGAUUGAAAUACGCACAAACACAUAUAAACAUUGCAGCAGGCCAGUAAUACGAAGGGGGCAAGUUAUUUAAUUACACUAGCAGUAUGAACUACAUAUAUAGGUUAGGCUAUAGUAUCUGUGUGACAGAAUGGAAAAGCCUAUAAUAAAUACUAAAAUAGAAUUUAUUCUUUUGUUUUCUUAAUUAAUUUUCUUGGAGUUUGCACUUCAUAAUCCUACUCUUUCCAGUUUAUAUCUGUGGGGGCUGGGAGGGAUUCUGGCUCGCCCAACCAGAGCAAUAUAAUAUCUUGACUCCAGAUAAAACGGUGCAGUCCUAUACUGCAUAUAUUGUAUGUCAAAUAAAAGGAACUUGUACUGAUGUGCCACAUAGAAUGCAGGAGUAGGUGGGGGAUCCUUGUAUGAGAGCAUACGAAGAGUUUUGGUGUUGAGAUGGUCAGGAUCAGUGGACUAUGCAGCUCAACCAACAAAACCCCAUCCUUUCAUGAAAACAACAAUAUGUAAUCAUUUGAUUAAAUAUGUGAGCAUGUGAUUAAAGACAACAUUAUAAGGCUUAUGCACAAGAGGGGCAGAGCUAAGGCUACAUGGGUUGCUUUUAUUCUCAUGUCUUGUAACUUCUGAGUGUUAUGCUUUGCAACCUGAAUAAUGUAGUUAACAUAAUAUUAAAAUUCCGUACCAAAAAGUGUCAUUUCCUAGGGCCAGUCUGUGAUGGCCCUGAGUAGGUGUGCACAGGGGAGGGUACAAGAAAUGCACAGGGAUGGCCUUGCAUGCCUUGAUUAAGGCUGGUUCCCACAUGGGAUCUAUACUCUCCAAAAGGGGCAAGGAGACAGCGUGGCCAUACCCACACCUUCCCAUUCACACUAGUGGCCAGCCAUAGAAGAGAGCGCCAGUUGUGCUCUGAAGGCAGCACCUCUGGUUCCCGGGAGCUUUGGAACAAGGUCUUAUAGGGGCAGUGAGGCUGACCCUUUCCCAUACACAGGCUGUGUCCUUACAGCACAAACUGGCUCAUAGUGCAUUUGGCCCCAGGAUUUCUCUUGCAUGUGUGUAAAACGUCCUGUGUAAUCAAAGAGCAUUUUAACGUAACAUAGAUGAGAGACUCAAUGAAUUAUUUUCAAUAAUAAAUGUUAACACUCCAAAUCUAAUGAUUUGGUGGUGUUUACAAAAAACAUUUGUCUCAGUUUAAAAGGGAAGAACUGAAAGUAAUUGAAAGGUAUAAAAGAGAAGGCAUCAACUCAAAGCAUCAGCAAAUCAGCAUCUUUCUUUUUAUGCAUCUGGUUGUGGUCCUGUUAUUUAUUUUAUUUUUAUUUAUUGAUUUCCCAACUGCAUUAAAAGCUACAUGCAGCUGAACAUUAUCUGAAAAAGAAAAACAGCCAUAAUCGUACAUUGGCUCAAUAUUCACAAACCCCUUCUGCCAAAAAGUCUCCCUGAUCCACUCCCAUCCCUCCUUCAAUUCAUCCCGUAGCAAAAAUCGGAGUAACCAGAUUGACAUGUGGGUGGCAGAGGAUAGGUGUCAUUUGCUUGUUGAGUCAAGGAAUUCAUAUUUGUCCCUUAUCUUGAGUUGUUUUUGAUAACCUGCUCCCCCUUCUCCAUUUAGCACCAGGCUCACAAGCAGGAUUCAGGCAACAUAAUUGUUUAAGCAUUUCUUCCAAAUUCCAUGGAAACAGAAUAGGGAAAAAAUAUACACUUCAGCAAGCUCUAUUUUUUUUUGGAUUAAAAUGGAUUGCUGUACAUUGUAAAUGUAACUCCCUAAUGUUUUGGUAAUGAUUCAUGAAACUAUCUGACUGACAGCUCCGAGCAAAGUAUUUUGUGCAAUAAUGUAAAUCAAUAAAAAACAAAUCUUAAUUGCAUAGCAGAUUUGAAUACUGAUAAAUCUGGGUGUUGCAAGAUUUUUAAACCAAGACUAUUACCUCAUUAAAUGAAAUACCAAGAAAUACUUAUAAUAGUGUCCCCAAACACCUUGUAGACAGCUGAAUGAGAACUAGGUACCUCAGGUCUGAUUCUGAUCUCAUUUAUACUGGUUUCACAAUGGUAGAAUUCUACUUAUUUAAGUGCCUUUACUUCUCAUUUCCACUUGUGCAAGUGAGAGGAGAAUCAGGCCCUUCAAAUCUAACAAGAAUAGUGAUCAUUGGAGAUUAUAUAUCAGGCACUGAGUAGAGGAAAUUAAGCUACUUAAAAUUCCGAUGCUUCUCACAGGAAAAAAAAUGAUUUCAGUGUGAUUCAACAUUCCAGUCCUGUGUAGAAACAAUUAUAAAAUACAAAGGUUUAUAAAUUCCAUUUGUCUUUUGCAGUGCUUGAUAUUAAUCUUCAAAAUAAACUUUAGAUUUAUUACCACCAUGCCGCUUCCCAAACAAAGGAAUUGGGUAACAAAGAGCAUAAUCUUCUCGGCUUUAAACAACACUUAAAAACCUGUCAGCGUGCUUGUAAUUUCCUGCUUCUGAAUGUUGUUCUCCAGACAUUAUUGUACUUGGGACUAGGCUUCUUGUAUUAAGUCUGAGAUAUAAAUUACUACAUCGUAUGAAAGAUGUGGUACAAUGGGAAUGGCUCGAGUGAACAUUUUUGUGGGAGUUCUCACUACAGCUGUGGAGCUCUGCACUUUCCUCAGUGCUGGACUGUGAUUUAAAAGCAGAAAUCUGAGACCUUACUGCAUCACAAAAUGUACAGAAAGAUGCACCCUAAUAAACAGAUGAAUUGAUCUAUUGUAGUGCCAAUAGAGUGUGUUUGCACAUGUGACUAGAUAGAUCGAUAGAUCCAUGUGAUAAAUACAGAGCUAGACUAACAAUAUUCAUAAAAUAAUGUCAUUAAUUUUGUAGAUGGCUUCAAAGAAAUAUUGUUCCUAGCAUUUCACCAGCUUGUAGAGCCAGCUGAAUCAUUCAUUUAUAUAUUCCUUGAGUAAUACAUUUGAGGCCUGAUCCAAAGUACAUUAAAUCAAUGGAAAGACUUCCCACUGAUUUAGGCUUUGGAUCAGGUGCCUAAAGCAUCUUGUGACAUUUUUAAAUAAAAUAUUUGACAAAUCACUAUUUUUUGUUAUUUGCCCAGCUCCAGGUACAUUACAGAGAGGUGAAAUAAAUUACACUGUCGCCCACCUCCCUUGCCAUGGAGGGAGAGAGAGCGAGAGCGAGAUGCAACAUUAGAGAAAGGGAUAGGGGACUUGAGGAAAGAAAAAUGAGGUAGAGGAGGGGGGAAGCACAGUUGAAGAGGACAGGAAAUAACAAAGAGUGAAGAGAAAACCGUAGAAAAGAGGCAAAAGAAAAAAAGGGGAGAUAAAUGAAAGUGUGAAAUAGGAGACGAGAAAGAGAAGGUACUAGAGAAAUUGAAAAAAGCAAAGGAAAGGCAAGAAUAGACAAACAGAAUAUUGAGAUUAGUAAACUGUAUUUUUAUUUAAUUCUUGGCUCUACACGUCAGCCUGGACUUUACGGGUAAGUAGCAAGGAAGUGACUUUGAGAAUUUUUAGAAAGAAUUAUUUACAGUCCUUCCCCUACCCUGUUUUUGAUUUGGGUAAAGAGGAAGGGCUUGCAAAAUUUCUUGAUCUAUGGUAGAAAUACCUCUCAGGCUAACACUAUAAGGCACGGGGAUUUUGCAUGAUCAUAUCUGUUCAUGCACAUUCGUCCAAACUCGUGCUGUUAGCUACAUGAGUAAGCCCCAUUUCCUUGUUAAAUUUCAACAUUUUUAUAGUUUACAAAACCAUCACAGAAGAUGAAGCAAAUGUGUUACCUGACCACUUUCUGGCAUGUUCUGUUGGUUUUUAUAAAUGCAUGUUCA